AAAGCAGUGCCAAAAAUGUUCCCGUCGUGUGUUGUUGGCGGUAGCCGGACGACAGUCCCACUCGUGACGCGGUGUUUUCAGCAGCAGCAGCAGUUUCGCUACGGAUUAAAAACCGCUUCGGCCGCAGCACGUUUUCUCCGUACGGGAACCUGUGUGGGACAGUUUGAUUCGUUUGGUGGCGUUCGCGACGACCGGUUCGGCAGUUUUCGAAGUUACACAUCAGCAAACACGGGAAGUUCUUGCCUGAAGAUGACCGGAGCAGCGAAGAAGUACCAGACCGUGGAACGGGGCGCACAAAAUUCCACCGACUACCGGGUGUUCUUCAAAACUGAGGAGGGCCAGUCGGUUUCACCGCUGCACGACAUUCCACUGUACGCCAACGAUGCCAAAACGGUGUACAACAUGGUGGUGGAGGUUCCCCGGUGGACCAACGCCAAGAUGGAAAUCUCCCUCGCCGAGGGGCUGAAUCCUAUCAAGCAGGACGUCAAGAAGGGCAAGCUGCGAUUCGUGGCCAACUGCUUCCCCCACCAUGGAUACAUCUGGAACUACGGAGCACUUCCGCAGACCUGGGAAAAUCCCGAUCAUCUGGACCCCAACACCGGUUGCAAGGGAGACAACGACCCGAUCGAUGCGCUGGAAAUUGGUUCCCGCAUUGCCAAGCGCGGCGAGGUCGUCCAGGUUAAGAUCCUCGGAACGGUCGCCCUGAUCGAUGAGGGCGAAACCGACUGGAAGGUCAUUACGAUCGACGUGAACGAUCCCGUCGCUGAUCAGCUGAACGACGUCAACGAUGUCGACAAGGUGUUCCCCGGUCUGCUGAAGGCCACCGUUGAAUGGUUCAAGAUUUACAAGAUUCCGGACGGCAAACCUGAGAAUCAGUUUGCCUUCAAUGGUGAGGCCAAGGAUGCCGCCUUCGCCACCAAGGUCGUCGAAGAAACUCACAAGUUCUGGCGGACGCUGAUCAACAAGGAGAUUGAAGAUACUGGCAUUUCUUGCUUGAACACUACCGUCGAAGGAUCGCCCUACCUAGUGGCUUCCGAUGCUGCUGAAGAAGUCCUAGCCAAGAGCGCCAACGGUGGAAAUUCGGAGCCCCAAUCUGAUGCCAUUGGCAAGUGGCACUUCCGCGAAGAGAAUGCUUAUUCCAAGUUGUAACCCUGCACUGCAUUAUUAUAAUCUUACGACCGUCGCACGUAGACCAUCGCAAGACCACGUGUCCAUUCCCACUGAUGAACGAUGGGGCUAUCGAACAGAAACUGCAUUUGACGACUCCACGCUUAGUGAAAAUGCUAAUUUACGUAGUAGUGUUACCGUAUUUAUUUCAUCAUGUAGUUUUUUGGUGGAUUUGGGACAGAAAUCGACAAAUGGCAUUAUAUCACAUUGAAGUAAGCUGAUCUCGUAACUGGCUAAACAUCAAAAAUUGCAUUAUCUGGAUGAUAUUACAUGAACAACAACAUAUGGCGGAAAACAUUUCAAAUACAAGCACUCGAAACUAAACCAAAAA